AUUGAACGCUGGCGGCAUGCUUUACACAUGCAAGUCGAACGGUAACAGACCGCAAGGUGCUGACGAGUGGCGAACGGGUGAGUAACGCAUCGGAACGUGCCCAGUCGUGGGGGAUAACGCAGCGAAAGCUGUGCUAAUACCGCAUACGAUCUAUGGAUGAAAGCGGGGGACCGUACGGCCUCGCGCGAUUGGAGCGGCCGAUGUCAGAUUAGGUAGUUGGUGGGGUAAAGGCCCACCAAGCCAACGAUCUGUAGCUGGUCUGAGAGGACGACCAGCCACACUGGGACUGAGACACGGCCCAGACUCCUACGGGAGGCAGCAGUGGGGAAUUUUGGACAAUGGGCGCAAGCCUGAUCCAGCAAUGCCGCGUGCAGGAAGAAGGCCUUCGGGUUGUAAACUGCUUUUGUACGGAACGAAACGCUCUGGGUUAAUACCCUGGGCUAAUGACGGUACCGUAAGAAUAAGCACCGGCUAACUACGUGCCAGCCGCCGCAGUAACAC
rnacentral:rRNA from 1 species